CCUGUAAGCCAAGCUUAUCCCUUCCCCCUAAAAAUUCUUUUGUCUAAAAAGUAAAUUGUUUAAAAAUUACCCGAACGACCAAAAAUUCCAACCUUGAGCAUUUUACAAAAACAGGGGGUAGACGUCCUUUAUUUUUCUUUUUACUAAAUCUAGGUAUUAAAAGAGCUACCUCUAAACCUAAAUAAAGUGGCAGUGGCUUAUCCCAGGCAGAGAGGUUUGAGCCUUUAUUCGAUACUCCUCUUUUUAUCUUACUAAUUUUUAUUUUUUGUGUGGCUGUUUUAAAAAAGGCCCGCCCCUGCUUUUAGCUCAAGUCUUAUGAAAACAAAUAUUAGGGAGCUUUAGCCACAUUGUCAACAUUAUUGCACCUUUGACUUUUAGGCAUUGAAUUUGCCAGUAGGCCCUUUUUAAUAUAGGGGGCUGAACUUGUUAUAAACUAAGUACAUAUUGUCCGUCACUCUCUUAAAA
rnacentral:rRNA from 1 species